CAGAUUAUAGCUUAUUUUAAAGCUUAUUUUUUACAUUAAUAGGAAGAAUUUAUUCUUUUCUGA
rnacentral:tRNA from 1 species